GAUGAACGCUGGCGGCGUGCCUAAUACAUGCAAGUCGAGCGAACGGACGAGAAGCUUGCUUCACUGAUGUUAGCGGCGGACGGGUGAGUAACACGUGGCUAACCUACCUAUAAGACUGGGAUAAAUUCGGGAAACCGGAGCUAAUACCGGAUAAUAUUUUGAACCGCAUGGUUCAAAAGUGAAAGACGGUCUUGCUGUCACUUAUAGAUGGAUCCGCGCUGCAUUAGCUAGUUGGUAAGGUAACGGCUUACCAAGGCAACGAUGCAUAGCCGACCUGAGAGGGUGAUGGGCCACACUGGAACUGAGACACGGUCCAGACUCCUACGGGAGGCAGCAGUAGGGAAUCUUCCGCAAUGGGCGAAAGCCUGACGGAGCAACGCCGCGUGAGUGAUGAAGGUCUUCGGAUCGUAAAACUCUGUUAUUAGGGAAGAACAUAUGUGUAAGUAACUGUGCACAUCUUGACGGUACCUAAUCAGAAAGCCACGGCUAACUACGUG
rnacentral:rRNA from 1 species